rnacentral:rRNA from 1 species
CCUACGGGGGGCAGCAGUGGGGAAUAUUGCACAAUGGGGGGAACCCUGAUGCAGCGACGCCGCGUGAGUGAAGAAGUAUUUCGGUAUGUAAAGCUCUAUCAGCAGGGAAGAUAAUGACGGUACCUGACUAAGAAGCCCCGGCUAACUACGUGCCAGCAGCCGCGGUAAUACGUAGGGGGCAAGCGUUAUCCGGAUUUACUGGGUGUAAAGGGUGCGUAGGUGGCAGGGCAAGUCAGAUGUGAAAGCCCGGGGCCCAACCCCGGUACUGCAUUUGAAACUGUCCGGCUGGAGUGCAGGAGAGGUAA